UUUUUUCUUUUUUCUUUUCCACGCGUCCUUCUAUUUCUCCACCCACUUGUGAACCCAACACACGUGGUGGCUACUUCCCACUCCUUCCAAUGAAAUACGGGCAACUGAUAACCCACCGCCUCUCCUUAUCUGGGUUCUUCUCCACGGACUUUUCGUCUUAUAUUCACCUACCAGGGAGUUCAUUCUUGCAUUUAUCCCUUCCACCAUCUUUCUUUUCCAUCACCGACUUCCACUACACCACAAACCACCGACGCCUCGAUCAACUACGACCUUCCAGUUUCUUCCUUCGCUCCUCAUCCAACCCUUCUCAUCUCUUUAGUUUGAAAUCGAAACACAGACCGCCUCUGCCCAUGAGCCGAUAAGUGGCGAAGACGGAUUGAAGCGAGUAGAAAAGCCUCCGACAAGGUCGUUUUAUUUCUUGCAAUAGGUAUUCGAUUUCAUUUUCAAAACUUCACACUCUAUCUCGAUUUUUUUAUAGUAUUGUGUUGUUCAGAAGUCCACCUUCAAGAUUCCUUCUCAGGACUAUCGAUGUGUUAAAGGUGAUAAUCAGUUCGUUGAUUUUUCGUCUCCUCUGUAUUUGUAUGAGUCAUUUUUUGGUAAAUUUAGGGCUACCUUUGCUUUCUAUAGAUGUUGGAUUUAAUCAUUGAAUUUCAUCGGAUUAUACAUAUGUUUGGAUUGCAGUCAUGCAGCGGACCGAUUGAAUGCACGCCAUGUGUUUGAUGAAAGUCUAAUAAUGAUGAUCUUGCAACUAGCGGUCACCACGCAUCUCAUCAGGUAAUAAUCAAGUUCUAAAUUAGAAUUAACAAUCAUUACAUUUUUAUUUAAUCUGUAAACUCUUUAAUAGUGUAUAAUUUGUCCUUCAUAUCAUCUUCCUCUAUUUUGGUUGUUAGAUGUGAUAUGGCUACUAUAACUUCUUUCAGAUGAGUUGCUCACUUGGGUUGGGAAGUUUGUAUUAAAACUAAAUUUCGCAUCUUUUAUACUUUGCCAAAGUAAUCCUUUAAACAAAAAUAUAUUUUCAUUGGAGAGAAACCGCUAAUACAAUUACAAGUGCAUACAGGCCAGAUUAUGAUAUCCAAAUUUUUUGAAUUUAAAUUAAUCCAAAAAAAUCUGAACCGAAUUUCAUCAAUAUUCUGAUAGUAUUUCUUUAGAUUUAGACCAAAAAUGUUAGAUACAUUAUAACCGGAUUUUUGAAUCAACUAUUCACUAUAUACACUUUUUAUUUUUAUUUUUACAAAAAAAUAUAGUUAUAUCUAGCAUUUUAUAUGAUAGUGACUAGGUAAAUAUCCAACAUAUUAAAUUUUUUACUUUUUUUAAAUUUUACGUUUACAUAUAAUAAACAUCCAUUUAUUUGAUUGAUAGUAUUUCUCUAGAUUUAGACCAAAAAUGUUAGAUACAAUAUAACCGGAUUUUUAAAAUUUUAUGGUUACAUUUAAUAAACAUCCAUUUAUUUGAAUUGUAUUUGAUUCAUAAAUCUCAAAUGGAUCUUCAAGCAAUGGAUAAAUGUCACAGAAUUAGGCAUGUGUACAAGCUUGCAGCUGCUCUAUCUGUGUACAAACUUUCUUCGAUAAGCGGAACAUGUUAAUAAGAAUUUUCUUUUAGGAGUUUUAUUUGAUGGAUGUAAUGGAAUUGGUUGGUGAUUACAUGUGCUGCUUUGUGCUUGACAUCCAUUUAGAUAACCUUUGUAUAUUAAUCAAAUACAACCCAAAAACAUUCCACAUUUACCCUUCGGUUUAUACUAUACAAUCAAUCGAAGGGGUGGUUAAACAAAAGGGGAAACAAGUUUCUUUUAGAAUUUUUAUAAAUUUAGAAAAAAAGGAUGUUGUUGAAGAUACUCUUAAGGCUCUUGAGUGGGAUAAAGUCUAUGAUUUGGUUGCUUCAUUUGCGGGUAUACAGUUUUCUAAAGUUUGUGCUCUGUUAAAACCGUUUUAAAUAUAUAUUUUUUCUAAUUAGAGCAUUGUACUUUAAAAGUACAAUGCUAUGACCAUGUACAAAGAUAACCACAAGUUUAAGUACAGUGAGUUAAGUGACACCCUUUUUCUUAUCUGCAUUUAACGUUUUUUCCCCUUUUGGUCCUGCUUUUAUAGGUGAGGCCCAAUGUUUAGUGUGUCUUUACAUGUAUGGACAAAAUAAUUAAGGCCAGGAAAGGAACAGUCGGGUAGGAUUGAGUGAGAAAAUGACAUUAGAAGUGAUGAUAUACCAUUCUACUUUGACUACUCCGGUAUGAACUUUUUUUUUUCCGCAUGUUUCACUUGAAUUUGUUUCUUCAUUGGAUCCAAAACACUAACAAUCUUCUUGGUUAUUUUUCAGAUAUGGUUGAGAUUCUUGCUUUCAAUACCUACGCAAAAUCAAAAUCCAAGCCUCUAUUCAAAGUGAAACCGUGGUGGCUCCUUAAAGCUUGAAAUUGUUUUGGCAUUAUACAAGGGUUCACUAUUUUUUUUUUUCAUAUUUUACUGGUAAUUUAUUUUAUUUAUGGUUGAUAUUUUGAUAUUCCGCUUUUGAAUAAAGAGGAUAUGCUUCUACUGUGUUGUGUGGGUAUAUUACAUUCUUAGACAAUUUUUCCCUUCAAGGUAAAGAUUUGUGAUAGAAAUGAACCUGACAUGAGUUCUAUAAUUGAUUGGUGGUUGACAACAGUCUAGAACUCCAUGGUUGCUAUGUUUUACAACCGCACACCUUCUAACCCCCGCAAAGCGGGGGUCCUUCCCUAGUUUAAAUAAACAAAUAAGUGUAUUAUAAUAAUCAUU
rnacentral:lncRNA from 1 species